rnacentral:misc_RNA from 1 species
UACGGAGGGUGCAAGCGUUAAUCGGAAUGACUGGGCGUAAAGCGCACGCAGGCGGUCUGCUAAGCCAGAUGUGAAAGCCCCGGGCUCAACCUGGGAACUGCAGUUGGAACUGGCAGGCUAGAGUCUUGGAGAGGGGGGUAGAAUUUCCGGUGUAGCGGUGAAAUGCGUAGAGAUCGGAAGGAAAACCAGUGGCGAAGGCGGCCCCCUGGCCAAUAACUGACGCUCAGGUGCGAAAGCGUGGGGAGCAAACAGG